UAACACGUAUCCAACCUGCCGUCUACUCUUGNACAGCCUUCUGAAAGGAAGAUUAAUACAAGAUGGCAUCAUGAGUCCGCAUGUUCACAUGAUUAAAGGUAUUCCGGUAGACGAUGGGGAUGCGUUCCAUUAGAUAGUAGGCGGGGUAACGGCCCACCUAGUCUUCGAUGGAUAGGGGUUCUGAGAGGAAGGUCCCCCACAUUGGAACUGAGACACGGUCCAAACUCCUACGGGAGGCAGCAGUGAGGAAUAUUGGUCAAUGGGCGAGAGCCUGAACCAGCCAAGUAGCGUGAAGGAUGACUGCCCUAUGGGUUGUAAACUUCUUUUAUAAAGGAAUAAAGUCGGGUAUGGAUACCCGUUUGCAUGUACUUUAUGAAUAAGGAUCGGCUAACUCCGUGCCAGCAGCCGCGGUAAUACGGAGGAUCCGAGCGUUAUCCGGAUUUAUUGGGUUUAAAGGGAGCGUAGAUGGAUGUUUAAGUCAGUUGUGAAAGUUUGCGGCUCAACCGUAAAAUUGCAGUUGAUACUGGAUAUCUUGAGUGCAGUUGAGGCAGGCGGAAUUCGUGGUGUAGCGGUGAAAUGCUUAGAUAUCACGAAGAACUCCGAUUGCGAAGGCAGCCUGCUAAGCUGCAACUGACAUUGAGGCUCGAAAGUGUGGGUAUCAAACAGGAUUAGAUACCCUGGUAGUCCACACGGUAAACGAUGAAUACUCGCUGU
rnacentral:rRNA from 1 species